ACGGAGGAUCCAAGCGUUAUCCGGAUUUAUUGGGUUUAAAGGGUCCGCAGGCGGGAUAAUAAGUCAGUGGUGAAAGCCUACAGCUUAACUGUAGAACUGCCAUUGAUACUGUUAUUCUUGAGUAUAGUUGAGGUGGGCGGAAUACGUCAUGUAGCGGUGAAAUGCAUAGAUAUGACGUAGAACACCUAUUGCGAAGGCAGCUCACUAAGCUAUUACUGACGCUGAGGGACGAAAGCGUGGGGAGCGAACAGG
rnacentral:rRNA from 1 species